CAGGAAAACUGGUUUGUUUUCCUGGCACUGGAGAGUUCCUUUAAAGGACCACUAUAGUGCCAGGAAAACAUACUCGUUUUCCUGGCACUAU
rnacentral:miRNA from 1 species